GGCUGGAGAGAUGGCUCAGUGGUUAAGAGCACUGACUGCUCUUCCAGAGGUCCUGAGUUCAAAUCCCAGCAGCCA
rnacentral:tRNA from 1 species